CAAUAGCGUAUACUAACGUUGUUGCAGUUAAAAAGCUCGUAGUUGGAUUUCUGAAGGUGGUUGGAUUGGUGUGACCUCGCGUUGCCGCAACCAUACUAUUUUCAACAUAUGCGAUGAAUUGGUGUGGUUAAUUAUGUUUGAUCCGCCAUUAAAUCGCUCGUUUACUUUGAGAAAAUUAGAGUGUUCAAAGCAGGCAUAACGCCUUGAAUAUGUUAGCAUGGAAUAAUAGCAUAGGACUUUGGUUCUAUUUGUUGGUUGUUCGAGAACCGGAGUAAUGAUUGAUAGGGACGGUUGGGGGCAUCCGUAUUCUCAAGCGAGAGGUGAAAUUCUUGGACCUUGGGAAGACGAACAGCUGCGAAAGCGUUUGCCUAGGACGUUCNCUUUA
rnacentral:rRNA from 1 species